rnacentral:rRNA from 1 species
UGAGGGAAAGGCGAAAAGAACCCCGGCGAGGGGAGUGAAAAAGAACCUGAAACCGUGUACGUACAAGCAGUGGGAGCCCCACCACUAAGCCAGUGGUGAACUCCACAUACGCAUCCUUUGCUGAGGAUACGGUUAACGGAGCGAAAGCGACGUUCAACCUCAAAAGAAGCAGAGGGGGCUUAGUGGUGGGGUGACUGCGUACCUUUUGUAUAAUGGGUCAGCGACUUAUAUUCUGUAGCAAGGUUAACCG